UACAGAGGUCCCGAGCGUUGUUCGGAUUCAUUGGGCGUAAAGGGUGCGUAGGCGGCGUGGUAAGUCUGAUGUGAAAUCCUGGGGCUCAACCCCAGAACUGCAUUGGAUACUGCCGAGCUCGAGUCCGGAAGAGGCGAGUGGAAUUCCUGGUGUAGCGGUGAAAUGCGCAGAUAUCAGGAGGAACACCAAUGGCGAAGGCAGCUCGCUGGGACGUGACUGACGCUGAGACGCGAAAGCGUGGGGAGCAAACAGG
rnacentral:rRNA from 1 species